rnacentral:lncRNA from 1 species
AAGUGGUCCUUGCCAUGCUGCCCUGGAACCACUCUGGAAGCACAAAACCAGUCUGUGCCCUGAGCACUUACCUGCAGUGCACAAUGAUGGGCCCUGGGCUGGCUGCAGCCUGCAGAGUCUCCUCCACUUUGGACACCAGGUGCAGCAGGGGCUUGGCUGACUCAGGUGUCUGCUGGUCUGGCCAGGAAGGGAAGAGGAUGUGUUUGACGUGGCGGCAUUCACCUUCCAGCUGGAUGGACAGACUGCGGACCACGUACUCCGCAUACUCGCUAAUCCCCUGCACACGGAUGGUGAAGGGGCCGUAGGUGCCCUCCUUCUCAGGCCAAUAGUGGACACAUUUCUCCUUGCGCUCCUGGAGCUUGGUUAUCAUGACGAUGAUGGGUGCUUCCUCCUGCC